rnacentral:rRNA from 1 species
AGUCGAGCGGAAACGAUGGUAGCUUGCUACCAGGCGUCGAGCGGCGGACGGGUGAGUAACGCGUGAGAAUCUGCCCAUUUGUGGGGGAUAACUCGGGGAAACUCGAGCUAAUACCGCAUAAUCCCUACGGGGGAAAGCAGGGGACCUUCGGGCCUUGUGCAGAUGGAUGAGCUCGCGUCGGAUUAGCUUGUUGGUGAGGUAAAGGCUCACCAAGGCGACGAUCCGUAGCUGGUCUGAGAGGAUGAUCAGCCACACCGGGACUGAGACACGGCCCGGACUCCUACGGGAGGCAGCAGUGGGGAAUCUUGGACAAUGGGGGCAACCCUGAUCCAGCCAUGCCGCGUGUGUGAAGAAGGCCUUCGGGUUGUAAAGCACUUUCAGUAGGGAGGAAGGCUUACCGCUAAUAACGGUGAGUACUUGACGUUACCUACAGAAGAAGCACCGGCUAAUUUCGUGCCAGCAGCCGCGGUAAUACGAAAGGUGCGAGCGUUAAUCGGAAUUACUGGGCGUAAAGCGCGCGUAGGCGGUUUGUUAAGUCAGAUGUGAAAGCCCCGGGCUCAACCUGGGAAUUGCAUUUGAAACUGGCAGGCUAGAGUGCAGUAGAGGGAGGUGGAAUUUCCGGUGUAGCGGUGAAAUGCGUAGAGAUCGGAAGGAACACCAGUGGCGAAGGCGGCCUCCUGGACUGACACUGACGCUGAGGUGCGAAAGCGUGGGGGAGCAAACAGGAUUAGAUACCCUGGUAGUCCACGCCGUAAACGAUGUCUACUAGUCGUUGGGAAUCUUAGUAUUCUUGGUGACGAAGUUAACGCGAUAAGUAGACCGCCUGGGGAGUACGGCCGCAAGGUUAAAACUCAAAUGAAUUGACGGGGGCCCGCACAAGCGGUGAGCAUGUGUUUAAUUCGAUGCAACGCGAAGAACCUUACCAGGCCUUGACAUCCUUGGACUUUCUAGAGAUAGAUGUGCCUUCGGAGCCAAGUGACAGGUGCUGCAUGCUGUCGUCAGCUCGUGUCGUGAGAAUGUUGGUAGUCCGUACGAGCGCAACUCUUGUCCUAGUUGCAGCACUCGUGACUCUAGGGAGACUGCGUGACAUCGAGAGGUGGGACGACGUCAGUCAUCAUGCCUACGCUUGGCUAACCCGGCUAAUGCCAGUACGAGGCACGGAGUCCGGGUCAGCAAUUCCUUUUAAUCC